CAGUGGACGUCCUACUGCAGAGGGAAUAUGUGGAGGAAGCUCAUCUGACCCAACCAGCCCCCAGGACACAAGGGCCUACAUAAGAGUUGCAGAUGGUGUAAUCUGUCUGGUGGAGCCCUCUGCCAUAACAGACCUCCAUGUAGCUGAGGAUGCAGACGCCUUGUCAGCUGCCACAGAGCGGGAGGGUUCAGAGGCCUAUAGGCAAGGCAAAUGUAUUCGUACAGCACAUUUCAUAUACAAGACAAUUCAAAGUGCUUUACAUAAAACAU